AAGACUGUGCUGCUUGCCAGCUACGGAGCUACCUCCUGGAGUGUGUUUAGGACAUCGCUCAGCCCUCCUUAGUCCUGGAAAACAAUAAUUUACUCCUCACAGAGGGUGCAUCAAGAUUCCUGUAUAUCCUUCUCAGUGAAGAUCUCCAGGUGUUGAAACUCUGAUUGCAUUAAUCUGACAGCAGAAUAUGGAAAAAUAAACAUGCCCCCUGCUGCCCAUUCAACAGGAUUCUGGUUAUC